rnacentral:rRNA from 1 species
UUGGAGGGCAAGUCUGGUGCCAGCAGCCGCGGUAAUUCCAGCUCCAAUAGCGUAUAUUAAAGUUGUUGCAGUUAAAAAGCUCGUGGUUGAAUUUCGGGGUUCUACCGUUGGUCGGGCUUUGUCUGUACUGGUGUGUAGAAUUUCUACCUUCUGGGGAACCAUCAUGCUAUUAAUUUAGCGUGGUGGGAAACCAGGACCUUUACCUUGAAAAAAUUAGUGUGUUCAAAGCAGGCUUAUGUCUGAAUACAUUAGCGUGGAAUAAUAGAAUAGGACGGUAGUCCUGUUUUGUUGGUUUCUGAAUCACCGUAAUGAUUAAUAGGGAUAGUUGGGGGCAUUAGUAUUCAAUUGUCAGAGGUGAAAUUCUUGGAUUUAUUGAAGACUAACUUCUGCGAAAGCAUUUGCCAAGGAUGUUUUCAUUAAUCAAGAACGAAAGUUAGGGGAUCGAAGACGAUCAGAUACCGUCGUAGUCUUAACCAUAAACUAUGCCGACUAGGGAUCGGACGAUGUUAAUUUUUCUUGACUCGUUCGGCGCCUUACGGGAAAC